rnacentral:rRNA from 1 species
AACGAACGCUGGCGGCAUGCCUAACACAUGCCAGUCGAACGAGACCUUCGGGUCUAGUGGCGCACGGGUGCGUAACGCGUGGGAACCUGCCUUUAGGUUCGGAAUAACUCAGAGAAAAUUGAGCUAAUACCGGAUGAUGUCUUCGGACCAAAGAUUUAUCGCCUUUAGAUGGGCCCGCGUUGGAUUAGCUAGUUGGUGGGGUAAAGGCCUACCAAGGCGACGAUCCAUAGCUGGUCUGAGAGGAUGAUCAGCCACACUGGGACUGAGACACGGCCCAGACUCCUACGGGAGGCAGCAGUGGGGAAUAUUGGACAAUGGGCGAAAGCCUGAUCCAGCAAUGCCGCGUGAGUGAUGAAGGCCUUAGGGUUGUAAAGCUCUUUUACCCGAGAUGAUAAUGACAGUAUCGGGAGAAUAAGCUCCGGCUAACUCCGUG